rnacentral:rRNA from 1 species
AGCAGCCGCGGUAAUUCCAGCUCCAAUAGCGUAUAUUAAAGUUGUUGCAGUUAAAAAGCUCGUAGUUGAAUUUCGGGAUCAAUUCGUCGGUCGUGCUUUUUGGUACGUACUGGUGUUUAUUGGUUUCUCCCUUCUGACGAACCAUGAUGUCAUUAAUUUGGUGUUAUGGGGAGUUAGGACUGUUACUUUGAAAAAAUUAGAGUGUUUAAAGCAGGCAUUAGCUUGAAUACAUUAGCAUGGAAUAAUGAAAUAGGACGUUCGAUCCUAUUUUGUUGGUUUCUAGGAUCAACGUAAUGAUUAAUAGGGAUAGUUGGGGGCAUUAGUGAUUCAAUUGUCAGAGGUGAAAUUCUUGGAUUUAUUGAAGACUAACUACUGCGAAAGCAUUUGCCAAGGAUGUUUUCAUUAAUCAAGAACGAAAGUUAGGGGAUCGAAGACGAUCAGAUACCGUCGUAGUCUUAACCAUAAACUAUGCCGACUAGGGAUCGGAUGAUGUUAAUUUUUUAAUGACUCAUUCGGCGCC